UACGGGGGGAGCAAGCGUUGUUCGGAUUUACUGGGCGUAAAGGGCGCGUAGGCGGCCACCGCAAGUCAGCGGUGAAAUCCCAGGGCUCAACCCUGGAACUGCCGUUGAUACUGGCGGGCUUGAGUUCGGUGAAGGCGGGCGGAACUGGCGGUGUAGCGGUGAAAUGCUUAGAUACCGCCAAGAACCCCGAUUGCGUAGGCAGCUCGCUGUGCCGAAACUGACGCUGAGGCACGAAAGCGUGGGGAGCGAACAGG
rnacentral:rRNA from 1 species